UACGUAGGGUGCGAGCGUUAAUCGGAAUUACUGGGCGUAAAGCGUGCGCAGGCGGUUUUGUAAGCCAGAUGUGAAAUCCCCGGGCUCAACCUGGGAACUGCAUUUGGGACUGCAAGGCUAGAGUACGGCAGAGGGGGUAGAAUUCCUGGUGUAGCAGUGAAAUGCGUAGAUAUCAGGAGGAAUACCGAUGGCGAAGGCAGCCCCCUGGGUCGAUACUGACGCUCAUGCACGAAAGCGUGGGGAGCAAACAGG
rnacentral:rRNA from 1 species